GACCAAGCGCAUUAAAAGAUGACGCCAAAGGGCUAGAUGCGAGUCCAGAGAGUGUCAAAUAGUGACGCCAAUGGUCCUGAU